AUUGAACGCUGGCGGCAGGCCUAACACAUGCAAGUCGGACGGUAGCACAGAGAGCUUGCUCUUGGGUGACGAGUGGCGGACGGGUGAGUAAUGUCUGGGGAUCUGCCCGAUAGAGGGGGAUAACCACUGGAAACGGUGGCUAAUACCGCAUAACGUCGCAAGACCAAAGAGGGGGACCUUCGGGCCUCUCACUAUCGGAUGAACCCAGAUGGGAUUAGCUAGUAGGCGGGGUAAUGGCCCACCUAGGCGACGAUCCCUAGCUGGUCUGAGAGGAUGACCAGCCACACUGGAACUGAGACACGGUCCAGACUCCUACGGGAGGCAGCAGUGGGGAAUAUUGCACAAUGGGCGCAAGCCUGAUGCAGCCAUGCCGCGUGUAUGAAGAAGGCCUUCGGGUUGUAAAGUACUUUCAGCGGGGAGGAAGGCGGUGAGGUCAAUAACCUCGCCGAUUGACGUUACCCGCAGAAGAAGCACCGGCUAACUCCGUGCCAGCCGCCGCGGUAA
rnacentral:rRNA from 1 species